GUCUACGGCCAUGCCACCCUCAACACGCCCAACAUCUGAUCUUGGAAGCUAAGCAGGAUCAGGCCUGGUUAGUACUUGCAUGGGAGACCACCUCGGAAUUCCAGGUGCUGUAGGCA
rnacentral:rRNA from 1 species